rnacentral:rRNA from 1 species
UACGGAGGGUGCGAGCGUUGUCCGGAAUCAUUGGGCGUAAAGGGCGCGUAGGUGGCCCGGUCAGUCGGGGGUGAAAGCCCGGGGCUCAACCUCGGAACUGCCUUCGAUACUGGCUAUCUUGAGUACGGGAGAGGUGUGUGGAACUCCGAGUGUAGAGGUGAAAUUCGUAGAUAUUCGGAAGAACACCAGUGGCGAAGGCGACACACUGGCCCGUUACUGACGCUGAGGCGCGAAAGCGUGGGGAGCAAACAGG